rnacentral:tRNA from 7 species
UGGAGAAGUACUCAAGUGGCUGAAGAGGUGCCCCUGCUAAGGGUAUAGAUCGCGCAAGCGGUGCGAGGGUUCGAAUCCCUCCUUCUCCGU